CCCUUAGAUGUUCUGGGCCGCACGCGUGCUACACUGAGUGGAUCAGCGGGUCAGGUUGCGCGAAAGUGUUUCCUAAUCUUGAAAUCCGCUCGUGAUGGGGAUUGACGGUUGCAAUUUUCUGUCAUGAACGAGGAAUACCUUGUAAGCGCGGGUCAUCAUCCCGCGCUGAAUACGUCCCUGCCCUUUGUACGCACCGCCCGUCGCUCCUACCGAUUGAGUGGUCCGGUGAGGCUUUGGGAUCUGGAUGGAAAGAGCGUUUCGCUGUUUCUGCCCGGAAAACUCAGUCGAACCUUAUCAUUUAGAGGAAGGAGAAGUCGUAACA
rnacentral:rRNA from 1 species